rnacentral:lncRNA from 1 species
ACGCCUUUAAAUGCCGGCUCUGGCCCAACUGAAAGACCAGGAGUGGUUCGUGAGAGCAGUUCCCACUGCUUCAGCCCCAAUUCAGAUAAAUCCACCUUUGUUGAAGCCACGUUGUGCCAGAUGCCACAGAGAAUUUUCAGAGGGCACACAAGCAGUGAAGACGCCGGACGCAUUACUGAGAUGUAGCGUGUGGAUGGGGCCAGGAGGAACGAGGGGCUCUGAUGGGACUGAGGGUGUGGUGGGAACGGCACUACAAGUGGGAAGGCAGGAUGCUGCCAAGGCAGGGCAUGGCGUCCACUCCCAGCCAUGAUAAAAAUCACGGGUGUCCGUCAGGCUCAUCCUCCUUCUAUAAACAAUUGUUUAACUGGAUGAAAUGUAAAUGAACUGUUUUCAGGCACUGCACAACAGAUAUUUCCACGUGCGCCGUAUAGGAAGGACUUCACAAGGCCUGGCCAAGACAAAGCGUUUUGCAUGGAGGAAAGAGUUUGGAGGUAAAACAGUGCUGGAAGACACUGUGUGACCCAAACAGCUUGAGUGGAAAGACCUCGCUGACAACCCCAGUAAGGCAGGUCUCAGGAGGACUAUCCUAGCCACAGGCUAAGGAUUGCUUGAGAACCUGCCCUCGCA